CCUGCCCAGUGACAUAGUUAAACGGCCGCGGUACCCUGACCGUGCGAAGGUAGCAUAAUCACUUGUUCUUUAAAUGGGGACUAGUAUCAACGGCACCACGAGGGCUUCCCUGUCUCCUCUUUCCAAUCAGUGAAACUGAUUUCCCUGUGAAGAAGCAGGGAUGCUGAUAUAAGACGAGAAGACCCCAUGGAGCUUUAAACUUAAUAGACAACCCGACACGUAUAAUUCACCUUAGUCAUCAAAGUGUUAUGUCUAUUAGUUUUAGGUUGGGGUGACCGCGGAGUACAACUAAACCUCCACAACGCACGGGACUACUCCCUUAUCCAAGAGCCACUGCUCUAAGAAUUAAAACAUUAACGUAAAAUGAUCCAAAUAUUUGAUCAAUGGACCAAGUUACCCUGGGGAUAACAGCGCAAUCCAUUUCAAGAGCCCCUAUCGACAAAUGGGUUUACGACCUCGAUGUUGGAUCAGGGUAU
rnacentral:rRNA from 1 species